rnacentral:rRNA from 1 species
AUUGAACGCUGGCGGCAGGCCUAACACAUGCAAGUCGAACGGUAACAGGGAUCAGCUUGCUGAUUCGCUGACGAGUGGCGGACGGGUGAGGAAUGUCUGGGAAACUGCCUGAUGGAGGGGGAGAACUACUGGAAACGGUAGCUAAUACCGCAUAACGUCGCAAGACCAAAGAGGGGGACCUUCGGGCCUCUUGCCAUCGGAUGUGCCCAGAUGGGAUUAGCUAGUAGGUGGGGUAACGGCUCACCUAGGCGACGAGCCCUAGCUGGUCUGAGAGGAUGACCAGCCACACUGGAACUGAGACACGGUCCAGACUCCUACGGGAGGCAGCAGUGGGGAAUAUUGCACAAUGGGCGCAAGCCUGAUGCAGCCAUGCCGCGUGUAUGAAGAAGGCCUUCGGGUUGUAAAGUACUUUCAGCGGGGAGGAAGGGAGUAAAGUUAAUACCUUUGCUCAUUGACGUUACCCGCAGAAGAAGCACCGGCUAACUCCGUG